AAGACAUUGUGUCUUCGAGUCGUUGAUUUCACACUGCCGAGAAAAGCCUCUAGAUAGAAAAUAGGUGCCCGUACCGCAAACCGACACAGGUAGUCAAGAUGAGAAUUCUAAGGUGAGCGAGCGAACUCUCGUUAAGGAACUCGGCAAAAUGACCCCGUAACUUCGGGAGAAGGGGUGCUCUUUAGGGUUAACGCCCAGAAGAGCCGCAGUGAAUAGGCCCAAGCGACUGUUUAUCAAAAACACAGGUCUCUGCUAAACCGUAAGGUGAUGUAUAGGGGCUGACGCCUGCCCGGUGCUGGAAGGUUAAGAGGAGUGGUUAGCUUCUGCGAAGCUACGAAUCGAAGCCCCAGUAAACGGCGGCCGUAACUAUAACGGUCCUAAGGUAGCGAAAUUCCUUGUCGGGUAAGUUCCGACCCGCACGAAAGGCGUAACGAUUUGGGCACUGUCUCAACGAGAGACUCGGUGAAAUCAUAGUACCUGUGAAGAUGCAGGUUACCCGCGACAGGACGGAAAGACCCCGUGGAGCUUUACUGUAGCCUGAUAUUGAAAUUCGGCACAGCUUGUACAGGAUAGGUAGGAGCCUUUGAAACGUGAGCGCUAGCUUACGUGGAGGCGCUGGUGGGAUACUACCCUAGCUGUGUUGGCUUUCUAACCCGCACCACUUAUCGUGGUGGGAGACAGUGUCAGGCGGGCAGUUUGACUGGGGCGGUCGCC
rnacentral:rRNA from 1 species